rnacentral:tRNA from 1 species
GGGUUCGAUACCGAAGAAGCGGCAUUGCUUCCCGCGAAAUGGACGAAAUAACCAGUUCCCCCGCCGUUCCGUCCGGCACGGGUUCC